rnacentral:tRNA from 1 species
GCAUCAGUGGUUUAGUGGUAAAAUCCGCGCUUGCCAUGCGCGGGCCCCGUGUUCGAUUCACGGCUGAUGCA